rfam:Alligator mississippiensis ScZkoYb_15, whole genome shotgun sequence.
ACUGUAGUGAGGAGCUCACACAAAUGAAGUCUAUCUGAUAGUUAAAUGUUUUAUAAAUGAAAUUGUUGUACUUUUCUUCUGAACAGU